CUAACAGUCCGUGUUGAUAAUUUCAGUUUAGUAGACUACCAUAACUAGUUAUUAUUUGUGUCAAGAUAUUGAUCUAAAGUUCUGUACGUCUUAAAAUUUUCUUGUUUGCAGUACUAUCACAAUGGCACAUCAAGAAAACUUCAAUUUUCACACACAAAAUGGAUGGAGUUUUUCUCCCAUUACAGACAAUACAGAUAGAACUAGUAGCAACAUCCCGAUGUUCAGCCUACAUUCUCCAUUUCAACCGAUUCAUAGAGCUGGCAUAACUCCAUGGAGUCAACAUUCAGGUAUUGGAUUUGUUUCUACAAAAUAUUUGAAGCUAAUAAUAUUUUGAUGAAUGUUGAAAAUAAACUAUUUGUCUCCAUAUUUAAUAUAUAUCUAUUCUUACUAUGGAAACAGGUCAAACAAAGAGGGUUUAUUUUAUUCAUUUUUGUG